rnacentral:rRNA from 1 species
GACGAACGCUGGCGGCGUGCUUAACACAUGCAAGUCGAACGGAAAGGCCCUGCUUUUGUGGGGUGCUCGAUUGGCGAACGGGUGAGUAACACGUGAGUAACCUGCCCUUGACUUUGGGAUAACUUCAGGAAACUGGGGCUAAUACCGGAUAGAAGCUCCUGCUGCAUGGUGGUGGUUGGAAAGUUUCGGCGGUUGGGGAUGGACUCGCGGCUUAUCAGCUUGUUGGUGGGGUAGUGGCUUACCAAGGCUUUGACGGGUAGCCGGCCUGAGAGGGUGACCGGCCACAUUGGGACUGAGAUACGGCCCAGACUCCUACGGGACGCAGCAGUGGGGAAUAUUGCACAAUGGGCGGAAGCCUGAUGCAGCAACGCCGCGUGCGGGAUGACGGCCUUCGGGUUGUAAACCGCUUUCGCCUGUGACGAAGCGUGAGUGACGGUAAUGGGUAAAGAAGCACCGGCUAACUACGUG